rnacentral:SRP_RNA from 2 species
GCCAGGUGUGGUGGCAUGCACCUGUAGUCCCAGCUACUCGGGAGGCUGAGAUGGGAGGGUCACUUGAGCCCAGGAGGUCAAGGCUGCAGUGAACUAUGACUGCACCACUGCACCCCAGCCUGGGUGACACAGUGAGACCCUGUCUCAU